GCAAGAAAGUUAUAUUUUGGGAAAAGAUCACCAGAAUCAUUAUUAUUCAUGGUAAUCACCAUACACUCUAUAUAUAUGAUCAGAAGCAUGCUAAUUCUACAUACAUUUAAGGUCAGUAUGUAGGACACAAAAGUGGUACCUCUAAAAACAUAUUUAAAGAUAGUAAGCAUUAUUAAUGACAUGAAACGUUUUGGGGACAAAAAAGGGAGUUUUCAAUAAAGGACAAGCACUUAAUCAUACUAUCCAAGCCCAAUUUUGCAGUUGAUUGCAGAUAAACACAUUUCCUAAAUAUUCUGGAUCAGUUGGAGUCUACACUCCCUUCAUAAGAGAAAAUUAUGUGAACCAAAACUACAGUGACUGACAGAUAUACUGGUUAAACAUGAUGGGUAAUCCUUCAAUAGUCUUAUCAGCAGCGACUGCAGCAACUAUGAGUCUGUACUGCACUCCAGCAGUUAGCUCAGUUACAUUAAAGGCUGUCUCAAUGGUAGUUCAAUUCAUAUCUCUACUGCCAUCAGUCCACUCUACUCUAUAGAAGGAUCUGUUUUCCAAUGGUUCAAUCCAGCUCAGAGACACAGAUGAUGUUGUGAUUUCAGAGACAACGAGGUUCCUGAUGACUUCAGGUUCUUACGUGAGCAAGAAAGGUGAUUUUAGGGGACACUAGACAAGGGUUGGGCGGUAUUCAGAUUUGUGUAUCAUCAUAACGUCCUUCUCUCAGGCAGGAAUUUACGGUAUUACAGGUUUAGUACUGAAGGGGGCGCAAAAAAUUAGAAGCCCUUUGGGAGUCUGUUACCAGAAUGCUAACAAAAUUAGCACAAAUGAUAGCACAUUUCCAUAGAGGCUGCUAGCUAAAUAUGCAAACGAGCACAAACGAAAGCAUUUUCUAUUAAGAGACAGGCACUCCAGCUCAAUACGUUAUACAUAUAUAAGAGCUACCGAUUGUAAUUGUUGGUGAGUUUGGACAUUUGCAAGCGAAUGUGAACAAGAGACAUUGUGCAAAUGAACAGUACUGGCUCUGGAGCAGCAGGUGUAAAUGCUGUGUCUGUGUGGAGUCCGGAGUUGCUAGGGCAACAGGACUGCCUGCUCUGCUCGAUGAAGAUGGAAGCAGACGGGCUGAUGGGGGAGAAGACAACGGGCUGAUGGGGGAGAAGACAACAGGCCGAGAACAGACAGGAGAAAAAACUCAAGGAAAUCGAAAGAUAGUUGUAGCCGCUGUACAGAUAACUCAUCCAAAAGGCCUUUAACUUCUCAAACACGGCAGAAAGACAACACAAUAUGAUGUCCCAUCACCUUAUUCAUUCAGUCACUUACUUAGACAACUAGCAAAAUAAACGUAGGGGUCGCACUAAUGCCGAAUUCUUAGUUAUACACACAGGUAAAAUAUAUAAAUUCAUAAGAAAUAUCUUGCUGAGUUUUGUAAACGCAGAUCUAAAAUGAUUCUUAUUGUGAUUUCUGCUCAGCAUCAGACAAAUGUUGCGCUUCAGUUGCACACGAACGGGCAUUCUACCAGCAGACAGAGCUCUGACUGAUGUGCGGCUACUUUACUCCAGCACUUUUCUCAGUGUAGCCAGCGUACUUUUCUUUGGUAAAAUGUAAGAUUAACUUUAAGAAAAACAUUAGGAAACGUAGCUGGAUACAUUCUCUCUAUGAUAAACAUUAGAAAUAUGAUGGCUAGAAAAGUUUUUGCAAGAAAAGACUACUUUUUCUUUGUAAGCUGAUUUAGCCUACCAGCCAAAUAGCAUUGCGCUUCUGUUCUCAUCUCAUGAAAAAUAAGCAAUUUUCUGCCGAAUGUGUUGCACUAAUGUACUUUCUGUGAAGGAAAACUAUAGUUGCACAUCCCUGACAACUCGGUUGAAGCAAAAAAACAACAGGUGACUUUCAAUAUCAAACGCAACCCCUGUCAAUACACAGCUUGACUCACCGGCUCCCGCUCUCGCCAGUUGUGCUAUUUAUAAAGUAAAACGUGACUGGCUCACUAUUCUGGUGAACUACAGUAAGCUUAAUAAUGUCAAAUAAUGUGACAGGUGAAAUGAAGAAUGCAACCUGCUUCACCUUCUGACACAUUUACUUAAAAAGUAGCUACAAAUAUGAAACUGUAUAGAAAAACUUCAAAGAAAUAGUUUCAACAGUAUUGACGGUAUUGAAAAACCAUCUCGUGGCUAUUUCAUAACACCCCGGUACACAGUAAACACGAUAUACCGCAAAAGUCUACACUAGACAAUAAUAUAUCUUCAAAGACAUCAGUACUAAAAGUACAAUGCCGCCAUUUUCAUCACAAUAUCAAAUCAUGUCUGGGUAACAAUUAAGUAACUUACUGUGAAUGUUUUCAAUUAAAUGGUAAAAAAAAAUAACAACUAUGGCUUAUUUUAAAAUAGAGCAACUUGUCAAGCAGGAAUUUAGCUGAGACUGUCUAGUAGAGGUCUGAGUGGGGUUGGGGAAAACUUUAAACGAGCUGUUAUUAGCAGCGAGGUUUGCAACUCGUUCAUAUUGGUCUUUAAACAAAUGUAUCCCCAGGUGAUGUCACAGGGCAGGCCAAAACUCCUCCCACCAAAACAGAUUGAAAUGUCAGGCGUUUUCUUUCAAACAGCUCCUACAUUAAAAGAGAAUUAACAUAAUCUUCACCAUUUCAGAGUAUUAUUCCAACAUCACAGUUUAGAAAAAUACAAUACACAGGAAAAUCACGUGACUACACUGGGCCUUUAACGGCCACAAUAUCCACUGCCCGGGGUAUGGAUCAGCCUCUAAUAUACACUGCCCAGAGGUAUGGAUCAGCCUCUAAUAUACACUGCCCAGAGGUAUGGAUCAGCCUCUAAUAUACACUGCCCAGAGGGAUGGAUCAGCCUCUAAUAUACACUGCCCAGAGGGGUGGAUCAGCCUCUAAUAUACACUUCCCAGAGGGAUGGAUCAGCCUCUAAUAUACACUGCCCAGAGGUAUGGAUCAGCCUCUAAUAUACACUGCCCAGAGGGAUGGACCAGCCUCUAAUAUACACUGCCCAGAGGUAUGGAUCAGCCUCUAAUAUACACUGCCCAGAGGUAUGGAUCAGCCUCUAAUAUACACUGCCCAGAGGGGUGGAUCAGUCUCUAAUAUACACUGCCCAGAGGGAUGGACCAGCCUCUAAUAUACACUGCCCAGAGGUAUGGAUCAGCCUCUAAUAUACACUGCCCAGAGGUAUGGAUCAGCCUCUAAUAUACACUGCCCAGAGGGAUGGAUCAGCCUCUAAUAUACACUGCCCAGAGGUAUGGAUCAGCCUCUAAUAUACACUGCCCAGAGGGAUGGAUCAGCCUCUAAUAUAAACUGCCCAGAGGGAUGGAUCAGCCUCUAAUAUACACUGCCCAGAGGGAUGGAUCAGCCUCUAAUAUACACUGCCCAGAGGGAUGGAUCAGCCUCUAAUAUACACUGCCCAGAGGGAUGGAUCAGCCUCUAAUAUACACUGCCCAGAGGGAUGGAUCAGCCUCUAAUAUACACUGCCCAGAGGGAUGGAUCAGCCUCUAAUAUAAACUGCCCAGAGGGAUGGAUCAGCCUCUAAUAUACACUGCCCAGAGGGAUGGAUCAGCCUCUAAUAUACACUGCCCAGAGGGAUGGAUCAGCCUCUAAUAUACACUGCCCAGAGGGAUGGAUCAGCCUCUAAUAUACACUGCCCAGAGGGAUGGAUCAGCCUCUAAUAUACACUGCCCAGAGGGAUGGAUCAGCCUCUAAUAUACACUGCCCAGAGGGAUGGAUCAGCCUCUAAUAUACACUGCCCAGAGGGAUGGAUCAGCCUCUAAUAUACACUGCCCAGAGGGAUGGAUCAGCCUCUAAUAUAAACUGCCCAGAGGGAUGGAUCAGCCUCUAAUAUACACUGCCCAGAGGGAUGGAUCAGCCUCUAAUAUACACUGCCCAGAGGGAUGGAUCAGCCUCUAAUAUACACUGCCCAGAGGGAUGGAUCAGCCUCUAAUAUAAACUGCCCAGAGGGAUGGAUCAGCCUCUAAUAUACACUGCCCAGAGGGAUGGAUCAGCCUCUAAUAUACACUGCCCAGAGGGAUGGAUCAGCCUCUAAUAUACACUGCCCAGAGGGAUGGAUCAGCCUCUAAUAUACACUGCCCAGAGGGAUGGAUCAGCCUCUAAUAUACACUGCCCAGAGGGAUGGAUCAGCCUCUAAUAUACACUGCCCAGAGGGAUGGAUCAGCCUCUAAUAUACACUGCCCAGAGGGAUGGAUCAGCCUCUAAUAUAAACUGCCCAGAGGGAUGGAUCAGCCUCUAAUAUACACUGCCCAGAGAGAUGGAUCAGCCUCUAAUAUACACUGCCCAGAGGGAUGGAUCAGCCUCUAAUAUAAACUGCCCAGAGGUAUGGAUCAGCCUCUAAUAUACACUGCCCAGAGGGAUGGAUCAGCCUCUAAUAUACACUGCCCAGAGGGAUGGAUCAGCCUCUAAUAUACACUGCCCAGAGGGAUGGAUCAGUCUCUAAUAUACACUGCCCAGAGGAAUGGAUCAGCCUCUAAUAUACACUGCCCAGAGGGAUGGAUCAGCCUCUAAUAUACACUGCCCAGAGGGAUGGA